rnacentral:rRNA from 1 species
CCUACGGGCGGCUGCAGUGGGGAAUAUUGCACAAUGGGCGCAAGCCUGAUGCAGCCAUGCCGCGUGUGUGAAGAAGGCCUUCGGGUUGUAAAGCACUUUCAGCGGGGAGGAAGGCGGUGAGGUUAAUAACCUCAUCGAUUGACGUUACCCGCAGAAGAAGCACCGGCUAACUCCGUGCCAGCAGCCGCGGUAAUACGGAGGGUGUAAGCGUUAAUCGGAAUUACUGGGCGUAAAGCGCACGCAGGCGGUCUGUCAAGUCGGAUGUGAAAUCCCCGGGCUCAACCUGGGAACUGCAUUCGAAACUGGCAGGCUAGAGUCUUGUAGAGGGGGGUAGAAUUCCAGGUGUAGCGGUGAAAUGCGUAGAGAUCUGGAGGAAUACCGGUGGCGAAGGCGGCCCCCUGGACAAAGACUGACGCUCAGGUGCGAAAGCGUGGGGAGCAAACAGGAUUAGAUACCCCAGUAGUC